AGUUGGAGGCGCCUAGUGAGGGUCAGGGAGGCCCGGCCCGCGCCCUCCCCGCCCAGCCGCCUCCCCGUCGACCACCCAGGGCUGGGGCGAGCCAGGCUGCCUUUCGAACUUGGGGGCUUCUCCUCUUGUCUCCCACUGGUGCUCUGGCCGUGAAUCCAUCCAGGCGCCAGGAGAUGACAAUCCGGUACCAAGGCCGGCAGUACAGGCUGAGGAUGGCAUUUCUCCAAAAGGUUUCCAAGCUGCGUCCUGGGCCUGGAGACUGAGACAGAGAUCCACGGACUGCAGUGCAGGCAGCCCACCCCAGAUCCGAGUCAUAUAAGGCUGCUUUCUUUUGUGUUUCCUGUUUUAAAUACUGACUACCACCAUUGGCUUGGCAGAGAGGUUGAAAUAUCAGUAAAAAACAUGCAGACCCAAAGAUGGGGACCAAAAUCCAAAGCCAGAGGGUCCUGGAAAUCAGAGGGUCUUACAACAUAACAGGCAGUACAGGCCAUGGCUCAGGCUAGGCGUGGAACAGACUGCAGUUCUCUUCUACAAAUCAAUCUAGACUGGACAGACAGAACUCCAAGGGAGGAAAGAAAAAUGAAUCUGAUGUUACUUCUUGAAACCACAUUUUCUGAAGUCACCAUUUUUAUGUAUCUAUCAACUCAUCAUUUUUAUGUAUAUAUCAAUAUGAUUUUAUGAUCUUAUUUUUUCCUACUAAUGUGAUGAAUUACCUUGAUUGAUUUUAGAAUAUUAAAUCACUUUUGUAUUCCUGGAAUAAACCCUAGAUGGAUGCUUGAUUUUUUCUAAUUCCUUAGCAAAAAUGCUAAUAUUUUAUUUAGGAUUUUGCAUCUAUAUUCACAAGUGAGGAUUUUUUUCCUCUCCUGACACCAACCAAUUCUCCAACACAAACUGAGUGUCCUACAAUUCAAUUUAAUUCUGACACUACCCAGAGUUAGCAUUAGCCUCCACAGAUUUAAGGCCUCAGCCCUACAAGACUGUCCCAAUCAGACUCCAGUUGCAAGUCCUGGGCCACCCAUACUUCUGGGCAACUGGUUACAAAUUGGGGGUUCUUAUGACCACCUCCCACAGGCUUGACAAUUUGCUAGAAUGAUUAGUGGAAAGCAAGAAAGUGCUUAACUUAAUAUUACUGGUUUAUUACAAAGGAUACAAUUCAGGAAAAGCCAAAUGGAAGUGAUGCAUGGAGCAAGGCAAGGGAGAAUGAGCACAGAGCUUUCCUACCCUCUCCAGGCACACCACUCUCCCAGCACCUUGAUGUGUUCACCAACCUGGAAGCUCUCUGAACCCCAUCAUUUAGAGGUUUUAAUGGAAGUUUCAUUACAUAGGCAUGACUUUUUUUUUUUUUUUUUUUUUUUUUUUUUUGAGACGGAGUCUCGCUCUGUCGCCCAGGCUGGAGUGCAGUGGCACCAUCUCGGCUCACUGCAACCUCCACCCCCCAGGUUCAAGCAAUUCUCCUGCCUCAGCCUCCCAAGUAGUUGGGACUACAGGUGGACACCACCAUGCCCAGCUAAUUUUUGUAUCUUUAGUAGAGACGGGGUUUCACCAUGUUGGCCAGGCUGGUCUUGAACUCCUGACCUCAGGUGAUCCGCCUGCCUUGGCUUCCCAAAGUGCUGGGAUUAUAGGCAUGAGCCCUACAUAGCAAUGACUGAUUGAAUCUUUGAACACUGGUGAUUACUUCAAUCUCCAGCCCCUUGUCCCUCUCCCCUCCCCAGAAGUCAGUGGGUGGGGCUAAAAGUUCCAACCCUCUAAUCAUGCCUAGUUCUCCUUUUUUUUUUUUUAGUUGUUUAUUUUUCUUGGCAUGCAGAAUAAGAGCUAUUGUCUAGGUCUUUCUGGUGACCUCUUCAUCCUGAACUACCUAGAAGCCUCCAGCCACUAGUCAUUUCAUUAGUAUACAAAAGACACUCUUGCCAUUGUGGAGAUUUCAGGAGUUUCGGGAGCCAUGUGCCAGGAACCAGGGACAAAACCCAAAUAUUUAUUUUUUCUCAUACCACAAUGAUUGACAUUGGUCUGUAAUUUUUUCUGCUUAUAAUAUCCUAGUCCAGUUUUUCUAUUAAGGUUAUGGCCACAUAAAAAGAGUUGGGAACUAUACUCUGUUUUGCUAUUCUUUGGUAGAGUUUGUCCAAGUUUAUGCAAGAUUGGUAUUAUUCUUUUUUUUUUAGAGACAGGUUCUCACUCUGUCACCCAGACUGGAGUAGCAGUGAUGCCAUCACAGCUCAUUCACUAUAACCUUGAACUCCUGGGCUCAAGCAAUCCUCCCACCUAAGCCUCCUAAGUACCUGGGACUACAGGUGCACGCUGCCAUGCCCUGCUAAUUUUUAAAUUUUUGGUAGAGGCGGUGCCUUACUGUAUUGUCCAGGCUGGUCUUGAACUCCUAGACUCAAGUGAUUCUCCUACCUCAGCCUCCCAAAGUGCUGGGUGUAUAGGUGUGAGCCACCACACACAGCCCAUGGUAUUAUUCUUUAAAUAUUUGGAAGAAUUAACUGAUGAAGCAAGCCAUCUGGGGCUUGGAAUUCUUUGUGAGAAGUUCUUGAAUAGAUUCCAUUUAUUUAUGAGAUAUUGGCUAUUCAGAUUUUACUUUUUUAUGUGGGCUUUGGAAAGUUGUAUUUUUCAGGGGGUUUGUCUAUUUUAUCCAAGUUGUCAAUAUUUUGGUGUAAAGACAAUAAUAUUCUCUUAUCUUUGUUAUAUUUGUGGGAUCUGUAUUGAUAUUCCUUUCUAAUAUUGAAAAUUUGUCUUUUUUGUUUCUGUUGAUCAGUAUUGUUUGGAGUCUAUCAAUAUAAAUAAUAUUUUCAAAUAACCAAAUUUUGAUUUCGUUGAUUUUUCUCCAUUGUAUAUGUGUUUUCUAUUUCUUUUCUUUCUUUCUUUUUUUUUUUUUUUGAGACGGAGCCUCGCUCUGCCGCCCAGGCUGGAGUGCAGUGACACGACCUUGGCUUACCGCAAGCUCCACCUCUCGGGUUCACGCCAUUCUCCAGCCUCAGCCUCCUGAGUAGCUGGGACUAUAGGCGCUCGCCACUACGCCCGGCUAAUUUUUUUGUAUUUUUAGUAGAGACGGGGUUUCACCACAUUAGCCAGGAUGGUCUCGAUCUCCUGACCUCGUGAUCUGCCCGCCUCGGCGUCCCAAAGUGCUGGGAUUAUAGGCGUGAGCCACCGCGCCAGGCAGAUUUGUUUUCUAUUUCACUGAUUUAUAAUCUUUAUUAUUUACUUCUAUUUUCCUUAGAUAUAACUUACUGUUCUUUUUGUUCUUAAACUAAAAAAAUAAAUCAUUGACUUUCACCCUGUCCAUUUUUCGAAUAUACACAUUUUUAAGGUUAUAAAUAACUCUCUAGUCCCUACAUUAGCUGCAUCCUAUGAGUUUUUAGAAGUUACGUCUUUUAUGGGGUCACAUUCAGUUCAAAAUAUUUGCUAAUAUCUGUCUAGAUUUCUUCUUUAAUCUAUGAGUUAUUUAGAAAUAUAUUUUUUAUUUCCAGGCCGUGGAGAUUAUCUUUUUAUUAUUGAGUUCUGACUUAAUUUUAUUCUGGUCAAACAACAUUCUCUGAAUGAUUUCAAUGUUUUGAAAUUUGUUGAGGCUUUCUUUAUUGCCCAUCAUAUGAUCAAUUUUGAUACGUUUCAUGUACACUUAAAAAGUAAAUUCAUGCAUGCCUGUAAUCCCAGCUACUUGGGAGGCUGAGGCAGGAGAAUUGCUUGAACCUGGGAGGCGGAGGUUGCAGUGAGCCGAGAUUGCACCAUUGCACUCCAGCCUGGGCAACAACAGCAAAACUCCAUCUUAAAAAAUAAAUAAAUAAAUAAAAUAAAUUCUAUCAUUAUGGGUACAGAAUUUGAUACAUAUACAACAACUAAGUCAAGUCUGUUAGUUGCGUUAUUUAAAUCUUCUAGAUCCUUACUAUAUUUUCUUGCUCUAUAAGUUACCGAGAAAUGUAUCUUACAGUCUUCCAUAAUGAUUGUGGAUUUGUCACUUUCUUCUUUGAGUUGCUUAAUUUUUGCUUUCUGUAUUCUGAAGUUAUAAGUAUGUAUAGAUUUGUGAUUUGAUAUCUACUUGUUGGAUUGACCCAUUAUAAUAUGUACCUUUUAAUAUCUAGUAAUGCUUUUUGCUUCAAAAUCUUACUUCAUACUGCUAUAGAAUGCCUGGUUUCUUUUGUUAGACUUUUACAGUCUAUCUUUCCUCAUCCUUUUUCUUUAAUCAUCGAUCUCCAUGUAUUUAAAGUGUCUCUUUUAGAAGUCACAUAGAGUUAGGUUUUGUAUUUUUCAUCCAGUAUGAUAAUCUUAGUCUUUUUCUUUUUUUUUUUUUUUUGACGGAGUCUCGCUCUGUCACCCCAGGCUGGAGUGCAGUGGCGCGAUCUUGGCUCACUGCAACAUCUGACUCCCUGGUUCAAGUGAUUCUCUUGCCUCAGCCUCCAGAGUAGCUGGGAUUACAGGCACAUGCCACCACGCCCAGCUAAUUUUUGUAUUUUUAGUAGAGAUGAGGUUUCACCAUGUUGGCCAGGAUGGUCUUGAUGUCCUGACUUUGUGAUCUGCCCACCUUGGCUUCCCAAAGUGCUGGGAUUGUAGGCAUGAACCACUGCACCUGGCCAAUCUUAGUUUUUUAUUUGGAUUAUUUAGUCUAUUUAAAUAAUAGUAAAGUAAUUAUUGAUAUAAAGUUGGGUUUAUUCUAUUUGUUUUCUGCUUGACCCAUCUGUUUUCUGUUGUUUUUCUUCUUUCUUGCAUUCUUUUGGAUUAAGAAAAUAUUUUCUAUCAUUCUAUUCUUUACCUCAAGCUUGUUAGUUAUACAUUGUUUUGUUACAUAUUCUUUUUCUUUAGCUGUUAUCCUAGAGAUUAAACAACAUGCAAUCUUGACUUAUUUCUGUGUAAUACAAAUUAUUACUUUUACCAGUUCCCAAAACAUUUAAAACUUUAGGAAACUUUAGUUUUAUUUAUCUCCUUCCUCAUUUUGUGUUGUUGUUAUACAUGUUUAGUUCUACACAUAUAUUUAAAUUCCAUAAGAC
rnacentral:lncRNA from 1 species